rnacentral:lncRNA from 1 species
GCCACGCGGCGGAGAAGCUCUGAAGCGGUGCAGGCCGCUCGAGUGCGUUUGCCUCGGGAGAUCCGGGGAAAAGAUUUGCGGGCCUACCGGUCAGUCUCAGUUGUCCCACAGUUCCAAGAUUGAAAGGAGCACUGCCUUGGGGAACUCAGAAGGAACCGACGGGGUUGGUUGGGUUCUUCGGGGUCGGGACUAGGACCGGAGGUGGAGCGCUUAAGCUCAGGGAAGCCGAGACAAAGGGAUUAGAG